rnacentral:tRNA from 1 species
CCCCCGAUAGCUUACAUAAAGCAUAACUCUGAAGCGGUUAAGACGAUAUACUUCUCCCUCCC